AUACUCCGAGAACUGAAAGGCUUUUUGAAGUCUUCGGAUGGAUAGAAGAACCCCUGAUGCCGUCGAGCCAAGAAAAGUUUCUAAGUUUAGCUAAUGUUGCCCGUACCGUAAACCGACACAGGUGGGUGGGAUGAGUAUUCUAAGGCGCGUGGAAGAACUCUCUUUAAGGAACUCUGCAAAAUAGCACCGUAUCUUCGGUAUAAGGUGUGGUUAGCUUUGUAUUAGGAUUUACUCCGAAAGCGAAGAAACUUACAACAAAGAGUCCCUCCCGACUGUUUACCAAAAACACAGCACUCUGCUAACUCGUAAGAGGAUGUAUAGGGUGUGACGCCUGCCCGGUGCUCGAAGGUUAAUUGAUGGGGUUAGCAUUAGCGAAGCUCUUGAUCGAAGCCCGAGUAAACGGCGGCCGUAACUAUAACGGUCCUAAGGUAGCGAAAUUCCUUGUCGGUUAAAUACCGACCUGCAUGAAUGGCGUAACGAGAUGGGAGCUGUCUCAAAGAGGGAUCCAGUGAAAUUGUAGUGGAGGUGAAAAUUCCUCCUACCCGCGGCAAGACGGAAAGACCCCGUGGACCUUUACUACAGCUUGACACUGCUACUUGGAUAAGAAUGUGCAGGAUAGGUGGGAGGCUUUGAGUAUAUGACGCCAGUUGUAUAUGAGCCAUUGUUGAGAUACCACUCUUUCUUAUUUGGGUAGCUAACCAGCUUGAGUUAUCCUCAAGUGGGACAAUGUCUGGUGGGUAGUUUGACUGGGGCGGUCGCCUCCCAAAUAAUAACGGAGGCUUACAAAGGUUGGCUCAGAACGGUUGGAAAUCGUUCGUAGAGUAUAAAGGUAUAAGCCAGCUUAACUGCAAGACAUACAAGUCAAGCAGAGACGAAAGUCGGUCUUAGUGAUCCGGUGGUUCUGUGUGGAAGGGCCAUCGCUCAAAGGAUAAAAGGUACCCCGGGGAUAACAGGCUGAUCUCCCCCAAGAGCUCACAUCGACGGGGAGGUUUGGCACCUCGAUGUCGGCUCAUCGCAUCCUGGGGCUGGAGCAGGUCCCAAGGGUAUGGCUGUUCGCCAUUUAAAGCGGUACGCGAGCUGGGUUCAGAACGUCGUGAGACAGUUCGGUCCCUAUCUGCCGUGGGCGUAAGAAGAUUGAAGAGAUUUGACCCUAGUACGAGAGGACCGGGUUGAACAAACCACUGGUGUAGCUGUUGUUCUGCCAAGAGCAUCGCAGCGUAGCUAAGUUUGGAAAGGAUAAACGCUGAAAGCAUCUAAGCGUGAAGCCAACUCUAAGAUGAAUCUUCUCUAAGCUCUCUAGAAGACUACUAGUUUGAUAGGCUGGGUGUGUAAUGGAUGAAAGUCCUUUAGCUGACCAGUACUAAUAGAGCGUUUGGCUUAUCUUU
rnacentral:rRNA from 1 species